rnacentral:rRNA from 1 species
CAAUAGCGUAUAUUAAAGUUGUUGCGGUUAAAAGCUCGUAGUUGGAUUUCUGCCGAGGACGACCGGUCCGCCCUCUGGGUGAGUAUCUGGCUCGGCCUGGGCAUCUUCUUGGAGAACGUAUCUGCACUUGACUGUGUGGUGCGGUAUCCAGGACUUUUACUUUGAGGAAAUUAGAGUGUUUCAAGCAGGCAUACGCCUUGAAUACAUUAGCAUGGAAUAAUAAGAUAGGACCUCGGUUCUAUUUUGUUGGUUUCUAGAGCUGAGGUAAUGAUUAAUAGGGAUAGUUGGGGGCGAUUAGUACUUAACUAGUCAGAGGUGGAAAUUACUCCGACUUUGUUUAAAGAACUAACUUAAUUGCGAAAGACAUUUGUCCAAGGAAGUGUUUUCUAUUAAUCAAGAACGAAAGUUAAGGGGAGUCAAAGAACGAUUAGAUACCGU